rnacentral:rRNA from 1 species
AACGAACGCUGGCGGCAUGCCUAACACAUGCAAGUCGAACGAGACCUUCGGGUCUAGUGGCGCACGGGUGCGUAACGCGUGGGAACCUGCCCUUAGGUUCGGAAUAACUCCCCGAAAGGGGUGCUAAUACCGGAUAAUGUCUUCGGACCAAAGAUUUAUCGCCUUUGGAUGGGCCCGCGUUGGAUUAGCUAGUUGGUAGGGUAAAAGCCUACCAAGGCGACGAUCCAUAGCUGGUCUGAGAGGAUGAUCAGCCACACUGGGACUGAGACCCGGCCCAGACCCCUACGGGAGGCAGCAGUGGGGAAUAUUGGACAAUGGGCGAAAGCCUGAUCCAGCAAUGCCGCGUGAGUGAUGAAGGCCUUAGGGUUGUAAAGCUCUUUUACCCGGGAUGAUAAUGACAGUACCGGGAGAAUAAGCUCCGGCUAACUCCGUG